GGCAGACAUUUAAUGGUUCUAAGCAAGAGGAGUUACAAAAAAUUAGCUUUGUAUUUGGAAGAGAUUGAGACCAGACAAAAAGACACCAAUUAAAAGGCUCUGACCUCCAAGGCCCCUUCAAAGAAAGAAUUGAAGAGUACCAAAACUCAGAGGGAGUCAAAGGAGAAACAGAAAAAGCACCUGAACCGGGGCUGAUGAAAAGUAUCAACAAAAGGUCUUGCAGGAAACUUCAAAGUGCCCUUUGCGCGACCAUGGAAAGAUGAUGAGCCGUAAAAGAAGUGCUUGGAAAGCAACUUGCAUUCCCUUAACAGCUCUAACCACACUACACAGCGAUUCUGAAUAGAAGAUUCAAAAGGAAAUUUUUAAUGACCGUGCCUGUAUUUGAGCAAUUUUCCCCAAGAUGCGCUUUGGUAAAUUCCCCACAUUUUCUAACUGCAAGAAUUCAUCAGACCUCAGGAAAUUUUCUCCUAUACCUUUUACCUUUCCAACAGCAACAACAUACCCUCACCCAAAAAGAGAAACUUUACGUGAAAUUGAGGUCACUGCCUAUGCUUGGAUCAGCUCUGAAUACAGUCCCUUGGUGUGUG